rnacentral:rRNA from 1 species
AUUGAACGCUGGCGGCAUGCUUUACACAUGCAAGUCGAACGGUAACAGGUCUUCGGAUGCUGACGAGUGGCGAACGGGUGAGUAAUGCAUCGGAACGUGCCCAGUCGUGGGGGAUAACGCAGCGAAAGCUGUGCUAAUACCGCAUACGAUCUAUGGAUGAAAGCGGGGGAUCGCAAGACCUCGCGCGAUUGGAGCGGCCGAUGUCAGAUUAGCUAGUUGGUGGGGUAAAGGCCCACCAAGGCGACGAUCUGUAGCUGGUCUGAGAGGACGACCAGCCACACUGGAACUGAGACACGGUCCAGACUCCUACGGGAGGCAGCAGUGGGGAAUUUUGGACAAUGGGGGGCAACCCUGAUCCAGCAAUGCCGCGUGAGUGAAGAAGGCCUCGGUUGUAAGA